CCUACGGGAGGCAGCAGUGAGGAAUAUUGGUCAAUGGGCGCGAGCCUGAACCAGCCAAGUCGCGUGAGGGAGGACGGCCCUACGGGUUGUAAACCUCUUUUGCCGGGGAGCAACGGGCGACACGUGUGGCGCCACUGAGAGGACCCGGAGAAAAAGCAGCGGCUAACUCCGUGCCAGCAGCCGCGGUAAUACGGAGGUGGCAAGCGUUAUCCGGAUUUACUGGGUGGAAAGGGCGUGUAGGCGGGAAAGCAAGUCAGCUGUGAAAACCAUGGGCUCAACCUGUGGCCUGCAUUUGAAACUGUUUUUCUUGAGUACUGGAGAGGCAGACGGAAUUCCUUGUGUAGCGGUGAAAUGCGUAGAUAUCAGGAGGAACACCAGUGGCGAAGGCGGUCUGCUGGACAGCAACUGACGGUGAGGCGCGAAAGCGUGGGGAGCAAACAGGAUUAGAUACCCCAGUAGUC
rnacentral:rRNA from 1 species